UACGGGAGGCAGCAGUGGGGAAUAUUGGACAAUGGGGGAAACCCUGAUCCAGCAAUGCCGCGUGAGUGAAGAAGGCCCUAGGGUUGUAAAACUCUUUCACUGAUGAAGAUGAUGACGGUAAUCAGAGAAGAAGCCCCGGCUAACUCCGUGCCAGCAGCCGCGGUAAUACGGAGGGGGCUAGCGUUGUUCGGAUUUACUGGGCGUAAAGCGCACGUAGGCGGACUUUUAAGUCAGAUGUGAAAUCCCGGGGCUCAACCUCGGAACUGCAUUUGAAACUGGAAGUCUAGAGACCAGGAGAGGUUAGCGGAAUACCGAGUGUAGAGGUGAAAUUCGUAGAUAUUCGGUGGAACACCAGUGGCGAAGGCGGCUAACUGGACUGGUACUGACGCUGAGGUGCGAAAGUGUGGGGAGCAAACAGGAUUAGAUACCCUGGUAG
rnacentral:rRNA from 1 species